UACAGAGGUCCCGAGCGUUGUUCGGAUUCAUUGGGCGUAAAGGGUGCGUAGGCGGCUUCCUAAGUUUGAUGUGAAAUCCUGGGGCUCAACCCUGGAACUGCAUUGAAUACUGGGAGGCUAGAGUACUGGAGAGGAAACUGGAAUUUACGGUGUAGCAGUGAAAUGCGUAGAGAUCGUAAGGAAGACCAGUGGCGAAGGCGAGUUUCUGGACAGUUACUGACGCUGGAGGCACGAAGGCCAGGGGAGCAAACGGG
rnacentral:rRNA from 1 species